rnacentral:rRNA from 3 species
GGUUAAGCGACUAAGCGUACACGGUGGAUGCCCUGGCAGUCAGAGGCGAUGAAGGGCGUGCUAAUCUGCGAUAAGCGCCGGUAAGGUGAUAUGAACCGUUAUAACCGGCGAUACCCGAAUGGGGAAACCCAGUGUGAUUCGUCACACUAUCAUUAACUGAAUCCAUAGGUUAAUGAGGCGAACCGGGGGAACUGAAACAUCUAAGUACCCCGAGGAAAAGAAAUCAACCGAGAUUCCCCCAGUAGCGGCGAGCGAACGGGGAGGAGCCCAGAGCCUGAAUCAGCAUGUGUGUUAGUGGAAGCGUCUGGAAAGGCGCGCGAUACAGGGUGACAGCCCCGUACACAAAAGCGCAUGUGCUGUGAGCUCGAUGAGUAGGGCGGGACACGUGGUAUCCUGUCUGAAUAUGGGGGGACCAUCCUCCAAGGCUAAAUACUCCUGACUGACCGAUAGUGAACCAGUACCGUGAGGGAAAGGCGAAAAGAACCCCGGCGAGGGGAGUGAAAAAGAACCUGAAACCGUGUACGUACAAGCAGUGGGAGCCCCACCACCAAAGCAUUCUCUGGUGUUGAAGGCCCUGCAAAGCAGCAUCGCGGUGGCGGAGCGUCGUUUGCGACGCCCAACACACAAAACAAGCGGUGAAUGCUUUGGGGUGGGGUGACUGCGUACCUUUUGUAUAAUGGGUCAGCGACUUAUAUUCUGUAGCAAGGUUAACCGAAUAGGGGAGCCGGAGGGAAACCGAGUCUUAAUUGGGCGUUAAGUUGCAGGGUAUAGACCCGAAACCCGGUGAUCUAGCCAUGGGCAGGUUGAAGGUUGGGUAACACUAACUGGAGGACCGAACCGACUAAUGUUGAAAAAUUAGCGGAUGACCUGUGGCUGGGGGUGAAAGGCCAAUCAAACCGGGAGAUAGCUGGUUCUCCCCGAAAGCUAUUUAGGUAGCGCCUCGUGAAUUCAUCUCCGGGGGUAGAGCACUGUUUCGGCUAGGGGGCCAUCCCGGCUUACCAACCCGAUGCAAACUGCGAAUACCGGAGAAUGUUAUCACGGGAGACACACGGCGGGUGCUAACGUCCGUCGUGAAGAGGGAAACAACCCAGACCGCCAGCUAAGGUCCCAAAGUCAUGGUUAAGUGGGAAACGAUGUGGGAAGGCCCAGACAGCCAGGAUGUUGGCUUAGAAGCAGCCAUCAUUUAAAGAAAGCGUAAUAGCUCACUGGUCGAGUCGGCCUGCGCGGAAGAUGUAACGGGGCUAAACCAUGCACCGAAGCUGCGGCAGCGAACGUAUCACCCAAGACAACUUUACGGAGUUGACGAUUGACGGAGCGAAGCGACGUCAAAGCGUUCAUUAAAGUCGAGUUGGCUUAGGGAUACGUUCGUUGGGUAGGGGAGCGUUCUGUAAGCCUGUGAAGGUGUGUCGUGAGGCAUGCUGGAGGUAUCAGAAGUGCGAAUGCUGACAUAAGUAACGAUAAAGCGGGUGAAAAGCCCGCUCGCCGGAAGACCAAGGGUUCCUGUCCAACGUUAAUCGGGGCAGGGUGAGUCGACCCCUAAGGCGAGGCCGAAAGGCGUAGUCGAUGGGAAACGGGUUAAUAUUCCCGUACUUGGUGUUACUGCGAAGGGGGGACGGAGAAGGCUAUGUUGGCCGGGCGACGGUUGUCCCGGUUUAAGCGUGUAGGUGUGUGUUCCAGGUAAAUCCGGUUCACUUUAACACUGAGGCGUGACGACGAGGCACUACGGUGCUGAAGCAACAAAUGCCCUGCUUCCAGGAAAAGCCUCUAAGCAUCAGGUAACAUCAAAUCGUACCCCAAACCGACACAGGUGGUCAGGUAGAGAAUACCAAGGCGCUUGAGAGAACUCGGGUGAAGGAACUAGGCAAAAUGGUGCCGUAACUUCGGGAGAAGGCACGCUGACACGUAGGUGAAGUGAUUUACUCAUGGAGCUGAAGUCAGUCGAAGAUACCAGCUGGCUGCAACUGUUUAUUAAAAACACAGCACUGUGCAAACACGAAAGUGGACGUAUACGGUGUGACGCCUGCCCGGUGCCGGAAGGUUAAUUGAUGGGGUCAGCGCAAGCGAAGCUCCUGAUCGAAGCCCCGGUAAACGGCGGCCGUAACUAUAACGGUCCUAAGGUAGCGAAAUUCCUUGUCGGGUAAGUUCCGACCUGCACGAAUGGCGUAAUGAUGGCCAGGCUGUCUCCACCCGAGACUCAGUGAAAUUGAACUCGCUGUGAAGAUGCAGUGUACCCGCGGCAAGACGGAAAGACCCCGUGAACCUUUACUAUAGCUUGACACUGAACAUUGAGCCUUGAUGUGUAGGAUAGGUGGGAGGCUUUGAAGUGUGGACGCCAGUCUGCAUGGAGCCGACCUUGAAAUACCACCCUUUAAUGUUUGAUGUUCUAACGUGGACCCGUAAUCCGGGUUGCGGACAGUGUCUGGUGGGUAGUUUGACUGGGGCGGUCUCCUCCUAAAGAGUAACGGAGGAGCACGAAGGUUGGCUAAUCCUGGUCGGACAUCAGGAGGUUAGUGCAAUGGCAUAAGCCAGCUUGACUGCGAGCGUGACGGCGCGAGCAGGUGCGAAAGCAGGUCAUAGUGAUCCGGUGGUUCUGAAUGGAAGGGCCAUCGCUCAACGGAUAAAAGGUACUCCGGGGAUAACAGGCUGAUACCGCCCAAGAGUUCAUAUCGACGGCGGUGUUUGGCACCUCGAUGUCGGCUCAUCACAUCCUGGGGCUGAAGUAGGUCCCAAGGGUAUGGCUGUUCGCCAUUUAAAGUGGUACGCGAGCUGGGUUUAGAACGUCGUGAGACAGUUCGGUCCCUAUCUGCCGUGGGCGCUGGAGAACUGAGGGGGGCUGCUCCUAGUACGAGAGGACCGGAGUGGACGCAUCACUGGUGUUCGGGUUGUCAUGCCAAUGGCACUGCCCGGUAGCUAAAUGCGGAAGAGAUAAGUGCUGAAAGCAUCUAAGCACGAAACUUGCCCCGAGAUGAGUUCUCCCUGAGACUUAGAGUCUCCUGAAGGAACGUUGAAGACGACGACGUUGAUAGGCCGGGUGUGUAAGCGCAGCGAUGCGUUGAGCUAACCGGUACUAAUGAACCGUGAGGCUUAACCUU